rnacentral:lncRNA from 1 species
CCUGGUCACAUCUCUGCAGUACACCUUGGGACCGAUGACGGGUACUUCCCUGAGGACCUCCCACGCUCCUCCCUGGUCGUCAGCCCAUGGCUGCUUCUCUCGAUUAUCCCUUGGACAAUGCAGGGAGCGCUGAGCUGGUGUGAGAAGCCUGCACCCAUCCAUCCUGUGCUGAGCCUGUGCUAGAACCCAGACCACCAUGAGUCAGAGCCCAAACUGUUAUCUUCCUGAGGUAACUGAUUAGAGAUAUUAACGCAUUAUUAGAAAGUAUAUACUGAUUGAUUUUCAGUGUUUUAAAAGAUAGUAAAUAAAAUAAGUAAUUGUUUUUCAUAGUAGAUUAGAAAAACAAAACAAAAGAACAAUUGAUAUUUUCUUUAUUUUAUUUUAUCUGAUACAUAAAACAUAAAAAUUAUACAUAGUGAUUGGGUGCCAUGGCAUGCUC